AAAGCUAAAUACUGGCCGGAGACCGAUAGCGCACAAGUAGAGUGAUCGAAAGAUGAAAAGCACUUUGAAAAGAGAGUUAAACAGCACGUGAAAUUGUUGAAAGGGAAGCGUUGUCCACCAGACUCGCCCGGGGGGGUUCAGCCGGCACGUGUGCCGGUGUACUCCUCUCCGGGCGGGCCAGCAUCGGUUUGGGCGGCUGGUGAAAGGCCCCGGGAAUGUGCCACCUUUCGGGGUGCCUUAUAGCCCGGGGUGCCAGCAGCCAGCCUGGCCGAGGSACGAGCUUCGGCGAGGAUGCUGGCGUAAUGGUGGUCAACGGCCCGUCUUGAAACACGGACCAAGGAGUCUAACAU
rnacentral:rRNA from 1 species